rnacentral:rRNA from 1 species
CAGCCGCCGCGGUAAUACGUAGGGUGCGAGCGUUAAUCGGAAUUACUGGGCGUAAAGCGUGCGCAGGUGGUGGUUUAAGUCCGUUGUGAAAGCCCUGGGCUCAACCUGGGAAUUGCAGUGGAUACUGGAUCACUAGAGUGUGGUAGAGGAUAGUGGAAUUUCCGGUGUAGCAGUGAAAUGCGUAGAGAUCGGAAGGAACAUCUGUGGCGAAGGCGACUAUCUGGGCCAACACUGACACUGAGGCACGAAAGCGUGGGGAGCAAACAGGAUUAGAUACCCGCGUAGUCCCUGUCUCUUAUAC